rnacentral:rRNA from 1 species
AGUAACGCGUGGAUAACCUGCCUCACACAGGGGGAUAACAGUUAGAAAUGACUGCUAAUACCGCAUAAGCGCACAGUCUCGCAUGGGACAGUGUGAAAAACUGAGGUGGUGUGAGAUGGAUCCGCGUCUGAUUAGGCAGUUGGCGGGGUAACGGCCCACCAAACCGACGAUCAGUAGCCGGCCUGAGAGGGUGAACGGCCACAUUGGGACUGAGACACGGCCAAACUCCUACGGAAGGCAGCAG